rnacentral:lncRNA from 1 species
GACCCACAGACUGAAAACGCGGCCAGGCGGUGCCCGAAACAUUCUCCCAGCCUCCAAAGAGGCCAGUUUGGCUUUAUUACACGGGAGAUGUAAUUUAUUGGGAGAAAUGUUUGGGUUCGUGUGUCGGAUGGUGGAGAGUCAGAUUUGGAGUUCCCUGGGGAUCUCCGAGGAGAAGGUGUGUUAAGGAAAUCACCAAGUCCCAGAGUGUAGACGAGCCCGAUCCCUUCGCAGCAGAAGCAGAUGUUCACAAAGCAACUGACCAGGCCAGGUGUGUCCUUCAAGGCUACCUGCAUUCAACAGAGGCGACCACAGCCCAGACCCAUCCUUCUUGGGAGAGUUUCAAGAUGCUCCACAUAGUGGUGCCUAGCGCUCUGUGCACUCAGAGGCUAGAAGAAAAGAUACAGAGGUCCUCUUUCAAGGAGAGGCCCUGACGUUUCUAUUCUUACAAGGAUUCUUUGGUAAUAAAUACAGUGAAAACACCGUCACCGUGGAGAUAAUACUUAAUGCUCAAGAGGUACGUAGCAGAGAUUGCAUUCCAAUCAAGGACUUCCGUAACCCUGUCUACCAAGCCAGUAUCACCUGUAGGCCAGUUCACCUCCAUCCAGUCACUUUACAGCACUUGAGUGUUUGCUGUCCGCUCAAUUAAAAUCCUACUCUGGUGGGAAAAACCAGAUUUCCAAAUGGGGACUUUAUUGAUUCAAUAAAAUUUAAGAAAUUCUGCUUAUGGAAAAACUCAUUAACCCAAACUAAUAAAUACGAGUUUACCCU